UACGUAGGGGGCGAGCGUUGUCCGGAAUUAUUGGGCGUAAAGCGUCCGCAGGUGGCUAUGUAAGUCUGCUGUUAAAGAGUGAGGCUCAACCUCAUAAGAGCAGUGGAAACUACAUGGCUAGAGUGCGUUCGGGGCAGAGGGAAUUCCUGGUGUAGCGGUGAAAUGCGUAGAGAUCAGGAAGAACACCGGUGGCGAAGGCAGGUCUCUGGGCCGAUACUGACGCUGAGGAGCGAAAGCGUGGGGAGCGAACAGG
rnacentral:rRNA from 1 species